GUGAACCUGCGGAAGGAUCAUUACUGAAUUUAAUGAAGGCAGUUGCUGGCUCUUUCACGAGAGCAUGUGCACGCCUUCAAAUUCAUCUCUUACCACUGUGAACUGUAGUAGACUAUGAUAUCUCUCAAUGGUUUUCCAUUGGAUUGAAGGACAUGCGCUUAGCUGUCUUUCGACUUCAUAGUCUCCCCCUUAUCUUUAUAAACUAAAGUCAUAGAAUGUCUUUUGUGGGUGUAAAAACCUAUAAACAUAUACAACUUUCAACAACGGAUCUCUUGGCUCUCGCAUCGAUGAAGAACGCAGCGAAAUGCGAUAAGUAAUGUGAAUUGCAGAAUUCAGUGAAUCAUCGAAUCUUUGAACGCACCUUGCACUCCUUGGUAUUCCGAGGAGUAUGCCUGUUUGAGUGUCAUUAAAUUCUCAAACCUCAUAGGCUUUAUUGACUAUGAGGCUUUGGAUGUGGGGGUUGCUGGCUUUUCACGAAGUCAGCUCCUCUUAAAUACAUUAGUGGUUACUGUUCUCCACUUCUUGGUGUGAUAAUUAUCUACGCCUAGUGAAGAAGUAAAGUGUAGCUGCUUUCUAACCGUCCAUUUACUUGGACAACUUGAACCUAUUGACCUCAAAUCAGGUAGGACUACCCGCUGAACUUAAGCAUAUCAAUAAGCGGAGGAAAAGAAACUAACAAGGAUUCCCCUAGUAACUGCGAGUGAAGCGGGAAAAGCUCAAAUUUAAAAUCUGGCGGUUCUUGUAGCCGUCCGAGUU
rnacentral:rRNA from 1 species